rnacentral:rRNA from 1 species
CCUGAUGCAGCAACGCCGCGUGCGGGAAGAAGGCCCUAGGGUUGUAAACCGCUUCAGCAGGGAAGAAAAUGACGGUACCUGCAGAAGAAGGUGCGGCCAACUACGUGCCAGCAGCCGCGGUGACACGUAGGCACCAAGCGUUGUCCGGAUUUAUUGGGCGUAAAGAGCUCGUAGGCGGUUCAGUAAGUCGGGUGUGAAAAACUCUGGGCUCAACCCAGAGAGGCCACCCGAUACUGCUGUGACUUGAGUACGGUAGGGGAGUGGGGAAUUCCUGGUGUAGCGGUGAAAUGCGCAGAUAUCAGGAGGAACACCAGUGGCGAAGGCGCCACUCUGGGCCGUAACUGACGCUGAGGAGCGAAAGCAUGGGUAGCAAACAGGAUUAGAUACCCUGGUAGUCCAUGCCGUAAACGUUGGGCACUAGGUGUGGGUCUCAACCAACGAGAUCCGCGCCGUCGCUAACGCAUUAAGUGCCCCGCCUGGGGAGUACGGUCGCAAGACUA